ACCACACAUCAAAGCUCCAAAAGCUAAGGUAUUUAAGUAAUCUCCUCAUCCGCUUAACAUAAUUAAUUUGAAAGGGAUAAACUUACCAAAGACUAACAUUGGUCAACCUCUUAAAACAUUUGACAAGCAGGCAGACAGAAGGACUAGCGGCAUUAGCAUCAAGUAGUCGAUAUCAAAUAUCAGAUGUUAUUGUCCAUGUAAACCGUUGUUACUUUGUUUUCCAUGCAUAUACAGCAGUCAGUUCUACACAAUCCUAGGGUUAGUGGAAGGCAAAAAUUCUUAUCCACAAAUCAUCUAUUUCUCCAAGUUGAACUGUACAACUUAUCUAGAGUUAUUGCAGAGUCAUGAUUUGGUGCUUCACCAUACCUGUUGACAUGCAUAGAAGGUGAAGA